ensembl:snRNA U6 U6 spliceosomal RNA
GUGCUCACUUAAGGAGCACAUAUAGUAAUAUAUGAACAAUACAUCCUUGGCCCCUGUGCAAGGACGACACACAAAUUUGUGAAGCAUUCCAUAUAUAU